rnacentral:lncRNA from 1 species
AGUCUCCCUUUCUAUAGUGCAAGCUCGACUAGACAGUUUUGACAAUAGUGAUAUUAAGGCUCUGCUUGGUGCCAUGCAAUCUGCAUUUGGGGUGCCAGCUAGCCACAGGACUCAUCUGGAAAAAAACAACGGCCCAACCCUGAGAACUUUGGGAUUCACGGGAAAUUACAGUUCCCCUGAUGAUGCAGGACCGGACCAGGAUUUCACUCAUCAACUGGCCUAGAUUAAGGAGAAAGAAAUCUACAUUUCUGAACCUGGUAACGUCUGAGCAUACUCAUGGAAGAAAGAGCUGGCCUAUGAGCGUGAGUCAUUCAACAAAUAUUUCUGAGUUUUUACAGUGUGCUAGAUACUCUUUACAUGCUGAAUGAGACAGCAAAACUAAGACUGCUCAGGAUAAUUGAGAAAUUAUCGCUUUCUUCCUGUAGGCAUCCCCUGCUUUUCACUAACACUUUUUUCUUCUUGUUGGAAGGGUGGAUAUUAUGGCUGGAGCUGCAGCAGCCAUCAUGCCAACAUGAGGGAAAAGCUGAUGGAAUUGUGGAGACUUUGGCCUUGUGAUUCAGCCCUGGAUGAGUUGUCUCCACAUUACUUAUCAUAUAAGAGAAAAACCAA